GCAACAAAAAUGCGCAUUGCGCUGGUAAAAGGUCACGGUCUGAGGAUAGUGAACUCCCUGCAGAGCAGAGCAGAGGAGACUUUAAGCAACAUGGAGAAGUGGUUAGAAGCCCACUAUCUUCCAGCCAUGAAAAGUAUUGAUCAACUCUCCGAAGUGAUCCGCCAUCACAUUGAGGCUGGUGAUAAGUUGAAAUUUGAACUGGUGUUGGAAUGUACUGACUUCUACCUGAAUGGAGACUGCCUCAUGGUGGCUAGCCCGGCCCCCCCUCCCCGCCCAGCUCCUCUGGAGAAACCCACAGGGUCCACCCCAACAAUCACCCAGCUACAGUCCCUCCACCAACAGCUAUGCAACGUUGCUCCAUCAGGCCUCAUAUCCAGUUCUGAGUUCUACAGUUUGCUCUGGGAUCUCAUAGUUGUUACACUGGGCAAAAACACCUUGCCUGAGCCCUGGAUUAAACAGAAUGAAACACAGAGGAUGGAGAUUGUGUCUCUGCUAACAGAUGAAUAUGAGCUGAUAGACUGGCGUAAGUUUCUGCUCAGUGCUGCCCUCCCUUGGCCAUUCCCCUCCCUGUCACAGCUGCUGACUGUGCUCCAACGCUUCAAGGCAGCCGAUCGUGGAAACACAGGCUAUAUAAACGAGGAGCAGUACCUACAGACCGAGCUGUGGUUUUCCAGUGAGAGUGUCCUGCCCGUCCCAGAAGACCCCUCAGAGCCUCUACCUUAUGACCGUCUGGCUAACCUACGCAAGUUUUUUUUCCAGUUGUUUGCGGACCACUCUUUCUCUCCAUCUCGACUGGAUUAUUUAACCAUGCUGCAGUACUUUGCAGCCGACCCUAACCCCAGACAAGGUUUCAUCAGAGCGCUCAGUGUCGUGCUAGGACAACAUCUCAAGCACUCCUCCCAGGGACAUCUUGUCAAGUCGAUGCCCAGUAUAGAAGAGGCUACAGAGUUGGAUGAAGACUACAAAGAAGCAGAGUGUGCGUUAGCAUCAAGCAGUCUGCUGGGGGAACAGGAAGUGUCCCUCCCUGCUCUCCUCGCUGUCAUCUCCCAUAAAGUCACCAAAAUAAAAGACGUCAUCCACCUUCCUCCAGACUGCCUGAGUCAAGAGGAGCACACUGAGCAACUAGCGCAUAUAUUCAGAGCGCUGGGCUACAUGCCUGAAGACUGUAUCCCCUUCUCCGUUCUCUCUCUGCACCCUUUCAUCCAGGAUUUGAUGGAGACCUCAACACACUUUCAGCUUGUAAACAUUCAUAGAGUGCUACUGGCUCAUCGAGAUGAAGGAGAGGCUAACAGCUCAACAGUUUCCUAAAGGAUGACACACAUAUGCUCUGCUCCACAUUGAAAAUGCUUUGGCCACGUGUGAAGUAUUCUCGUUACAGUUACCUUUGACAUCUUCGAUGAUAUCUAUGGCUUAUUUCAUUUUUGAAUAAAUAUAUUUACAACCGUAACUUGCGUCAUCAUGUAGAAAUGUCUGUAACAAACGGUGGUUGAAAUGACAACAAUAACAUCAAUGAUGUCAGGAUUGACCCCUCUUACUCGUUUUUCCCCCCGAUACACUCCAGCAGUUUUUCUGACUGAGUUGUUUUUCUAAUGACCCUUCUGACACAGAAAGGCAUUGGUUGUGGCUACAAUGAGAGCAUUGUCCAAGAUAACCUACAUGUCAAGCCUGACUUACCAGCAACUGCCUGCUGCCUGCCAGGGCACCCUCAGCCUGUCACUGCCCCGUCAGCAGUCGUGUGUUCUGGUGGUGGCUACUCUCUCUAGCAGUCAGUGCCGCCUGCCUAUCAAUCACAAUUACGCUGACAGGUCCAAGGCUCUUGGACCUCUCAGUGACUUAUAGAGAAAACAGUGCCGCUGACAUGUAUCAUGGAGACAGUAUCAUACUUGCAGACUUGCAUCCAAAACCGUCUGAAUAAGGAAUUCAUCAAAGUCUUAAUGUCGGACCUUUGACAUCGACCACUGCAGACAUAUGAACCAUCUUUACUCCUGGCUAAACAGACCUGAGAUCCAAGGGAAGACUUUCAGGACUUAACGUGGUCCAUUGAAAAGGUGAUUUUAUCAAGAAUUUGAAUACUUUUCCCUGAGUUAUUUAUUGGCACUUUUAUCUUGGAAAAUGUUUCAUUGGUCUGGAUCAUAGCUCUGUUUUAGGACCUGUUUGCUUCAGAUAUUCCCUGGAUCUAACUUUGUUGCUGCGAUUACGGAGUUAAAGGGGCAUCAUUUAUCAUAAGGACUUCUUGUUGACAAAGCAAGGUUACAUUUGAAUAGGAAGACUAUUUCAAGAAGACUUUGGCUGCAGGUCAGUGUGUGGCACUCUAAAAACAACAUGGGGUUUGUAUUUUGGAUGUUUCCUCUUCUGGCUCUUCCAGUACUUCAGUCUGCCAAAAUCCUGACUGUCUGUCUAAUUGGUGAGUAAUGGAGUGUCCUUCAAUGGUAGUAAUAGAUGUAUUCAUUUAAAAAAUGUGUUCAGAAAUAUAAAAAUAAAUGAGCGCCUCCUUAACAUUUUAAUAUUCAAAUGUAUGCUGUAUGAGCCAUUUUUCAGACAGCAUAGUGAUUUGUUGUAAUUCUUCUUCUCUCACUUUCUCUAGGAGGAAGCCACUACUUAUUAUUAGAUGAAAUUUCUCAUAACUUACACGAGCAUGGCCAUCAGGUCCGCAUGCUCUUGCAACUGGGCAACCCUGUUAUCAAAGGUUUUUCCUAUGCUGGCCGUGCAGACAGCUACCAGACGACCACUUGGUCCGUAGGAGAGGAAUACAUCAGAGAAUACAAUGGCUGGUUCCUGGAGCAACAGACACAGUUUUUACUGGGAAGGGAUAGCUUUAAGAACUUUCUAAACUUCAUGGGGCACCUGUCCUAUCAGUGUGACAGGCUGUUAGCGGACAAAGACAUCAUAAGUUUCCUCCAGAGGGAAAACUAUGACAUCGCCAUCCUUGAUGCUUUUAACCCCUGCUCCUUCAUCCUGGCACACAA